UGGUGUUUUGAGCCCUCACCGGCGCCUUCCAGGCAGCGGCUGCCUGGAAGGCGCCGGAAGGUGGUCCCGCCCCCCAAAACUCUGAUCCAAUCAAUGCGCUACCCCCACUUGGAGCGGAGCGCAUAUUCAAAUCCACUUUUUGGAGCGCAUUGCAUAUUCAAACCCGCGCAUUUGGAGCCAAACCCACUUGGAGCGCAUUUGGAGCGCAUUUAACCCACUUGGUUCAACAAUUUCAAAGGCGAAGCCAAGGACCUGUGCUCCUCCGUCGGUGCUCUGGCUGCCAGGAGCAUCGAAUUUAAAGAAGUGGCCAUGCUGCCGGCAUCAGACCCCACUGUGGCCACAGGGAGAGCCACGGAGUUCAAACAACAGCUCCAGCACCUCGCCAACCAGGUGAGGU